AGGACGAACGCUGGCGGCGCGCUUAACACAUGCAAGUCGAGCGAGAACCGGCCCUUCGGGACCGGGGACAGCGGCGAACGGGUGAGUAACACGUGGGUAAUCAACCCCUGACACUGGGAUAGCCCGGGGAAACUCGGAUUAAUACCGGAUGGCCCAACAGCUCUUCGGGGCGGUUGGAAAAGGUAGCUUCGGCCUCCGGUCAGGGACGAGCCCGCGGCGGAUUAGCUUGUUGGUGAGGUAACGGCUCACCAAGGCGACGAUCCGUAGCUGGUCUGAGAGGACGAUCAGCCACACUGGGACUGAGACACGGCCCAGACUCCUACGGGAGGCAGCAGUGGGGAAUCUUGCACAAUGGGCGAAAGCCUGAUCCAGCAAUGCCGCGUGAGUGAUGAAGGCCUUAGGGUUGUAAAGCUCUUUUGCCAGGGAUGAUAAUGACAGUACCUGGAGAAUAAGCUCCGGCUAACUCCGUGCCAGCAGCCGC
rnacentral:rRNA from 1 species